GCCAAUCCUGGGUACGCGUCUGACUCGGGUGAGGCCUGACAUGGCAAACAUUUCUUAAUCGUAUGGAGUAAAAAAAAAAGAUUGUAUUUUUGUUUCUUGCUUCAUAACAAUGUCAUGUCUCUGGUCGUUUGUGUUGGAACAAUUUCAAGCUUUUUUCCUGUAUGUAGCAUGUUUCCGUAGCUUAGUUAAAUUGCCUAGCAAAUUCCAAAGAGACCAGAAAGUGGAUGGCAAGCUUGUUUUGGCCGAAACUUUGGGAUUGCAGUCUGGUCGUGUAUAGGAUAAUAUGGACAUUAUCGAGAUUCGAAAAAUAAAAUCCAAGACUUUAUUACUUUACAAUGACGGUGCAUAUCAGAAGGGGGUAGAUAUUUGCAAAAAAAUAAUGAUUUGUUAAUUUUCAUAAGAAAAGAACGCUUCUUGAUCUUCGUGAAGGAAGCGCGCCAUUGAAAUUAUGAUAUUUGUAGAUAUGGGUUACCUGCGGAUUAUGCUAAUACUUCCAAGAAAGCAAAUCGGUAGUUUCCGGCUUUACGGGGAACGAAAUCAGUUGUCAUAAUUUUCUCUUUAAUAUGGACUCUCUCACAAAGCAUACCAGCAAAAACUCAAGUUUUCUCUGGUCAUGAAUAGCUGCACUACUUGUGUAUUUGCUUCGGAAGCUAGUUCUGGCAUAGUAACGUUAGGAGACUAACGUUAAACAAUGGUAUAUACAUAAUGCUUCGUAGAUUUUGGUCAGAGCCAAGCAUAGGUAACCUCUAAUGGAUGAUUGUUUUGAUUUAUCCAUAUUCUUCGAACGCAUGGUUACUUUCGGUCGUAGAACUGCCAUUUGCCAAUCUCCAUUUGCCAUUUGCACUGACAACCUUAAUUGGAAUAGGUGUAUCCAACUAAAAGAAAUGGAAAGUAGAGUAAGGCUUUGUUCACAUGAAGAUUGGAUGUCUUACCACAUAGAAGGGACAAAGAUAGCAUCGGGUUUACAUGGGAAAUUCUGUCCCUAGCAGGGACAAAGAUAGCGUCGGGUUCACAUGGGAAAUUCUGUCCCUAGCAGGGACAAAGAUAGCGUCGGGUUCACAUGGGAAAUUCUGUCCCUAGCAAGGAGGGCUAACUCUAAAGGGGAAGUCACCAAGCAGGAUGGCGGAAUACUUGCAUUGGCGUGCUUAGAGGCAGCUUUUCUUUCUAUUCCUGAAAAAGUAUAAUUUUCGUGCAUAGACGAAAAGUUCAAAUUCUGGACAGGCUCAGCCUGUUCGAGUGUUAUCAGAAACGUAAUGGAAAAAACCUUCAUGGAUCGAGGUCCUUCAAACUUAGUAGGGCUACCAAGCGCGUUACCGGGACUGGCCGAGGGGGGUGGGGGGUGGGGGUGAGGUGCAUAGUCAUACGUAUCAUAUGGAAAAUGCACAAUAUUUGAAGAUUUUUUAUAAGAAAUGGCCCAAUUUUUGGCCGCCAAGUUGGGUGUACGCUCCUGGAUACCUCUAUACUUGAUUCGUAUGCAUGGCCAAAAGCUGUCUCUAGGGGGACCUUUCCUCGCAUAUGUACCAAACCGUGUAUAACAAAGCGGAGGGGAAACCCUACUUAGGACGGACCAUGGAAUAUUGUGGGGGUGGGGGUGGGGUGCACAUAUCAACCAAUAGCUGUCGUUUUUCUAAAUGGUCUAAAAGAGCCUGGGGAGAGCGCGCGGUAAACCAAAGAUAUUCUAGGCCUCGUUUUCAAGAUGGCGGCCAGCGAAAACGUAGUAAA